UGGUGAUUCAGUGGUAGAAUUCUUGCCUUCUGUGUAGGAGACCUGGGUUCGAUUCCCAUCCA
rnacentral:tRNA from 1 species